CUGUUGCGUUAGCGAUUACAGUGGCAUCCUUUUUAUUGGUCUCUUCGAGCGCAGGCGAGAAGUUGUCACAUAAAAAGAUAGAACGGAAAGCGCGACCCUAG
rnacentral:sRNA from 1 species